UACGUAGGGGGCUAGCGUUAUCCGGAAUUACUGGGCGUAAAGGGUGCGUAGGUGGUUUCUUAAGUCAGAAGUGAAAGGCUACGGCUCAACCGUAGUAAGCUUUUGAAACUGAGAAACUUGAGUGCAGAAGAGGAAAGCGGUAUUCCACGUGUAGCGGUGAAAUGCGUAGAUAUUAGGAGGAAUACCAGUUGCGAAGGCGGCUCUCUGGACUGUAACUGACACUGAGGCACGAAAGCGUGGGGAGCAAACA
rnacentral:rRNA from 1 species